rnacentral:rRNA from 1 species
GGCGAACGCUGGCGGCGUGCCUAAUACAUGCAAGUUGAGCGCUGAAGGUUGGUACUUGUACCAACUGGAUGAGCAGCGAACGGGUGAGUAACGCGUGGGGAAUCUGCCUUUGAGCGGGGGACAACAUUUGGAAACGAAUGCUAAUACCGCAUAAAAACUUUAAACACAAGUUUUAAGUUUGAAAGAUGCAAUUGCAUCACUCAAAGAUGAUCCCGCGUUGUAUUAGCUAGUUGGUGAGGUAAAGGCUCACCAAGGCGAUGAUACAUAGCCGACCUGAGAGGGGGGUCGGCCACAUUGGGACUGGGACACGGCCCAAACUCCUACGGGAGGCAGCAGUAGGGGAACUUCGGCAAUUGACGAAAGUCUGACCGGGCAACGCCGCGUGAGUGAAUAAGGUUUUCGGAUCGUAAAACUCUGUUGGUAGAGAAGAACGUUGGUGAGAGGGGAAAACGCAUCAAGUGACGGUAACUACCCAGAAAGGGACGGCUAACUACGUG